UACGAAGGGGGCUAGCGUUGCUCGGAAUGACUGGGCGUAAAGGGCGCGUAGGCGGAUGGCACAGUCAGAUGUGAAAUUCCCGGGCUUAACCUGGGGGCUGCAUUUGAUACGUGUUGUCUUGAGUUCGGAAGAGGGUCGUGGAAUUCCCAGUGUAGAGGUGAAAUUCGUAGAUAUUGGGAAGAACACCGGUGGCGAAGGCGGCGACCUGGUCCGUGCACUGACGCUGAGGCGCGAAAGCGUGGGGAGCAAACAGG
rnacentral:rRNA from 1 species